UACCUACGGGUGGCUGCAGUGGGGAAUAUUGGACAAUGGGCGCAAGCCUGAUCCAGCAAUACCGCGUGUGUGAAGAAGGCCUGAGGGUUGUAAAGCACUUUUAAUCGGGAGGAAAACCUGUCGGCCAAUACCCGGCAGCUUGACAUUACCGAUAGAAAAAGCACCGGCUAACUCCGUGCCAGCAGCCGCGGUAAUACGGAGGGUGCAAGCGUUAAUCGGAAUUACUGGGCGUAAAGCGUGCGUAGGCGGCCGUUUAAGUCAGAUGUGAAAGCCCCGGGCUUAACCUGGGAACUGCAUUUGAUACUGGAGGGCUAGAGUUUAAUAGAGGGGAGUGGAAUUUCCGGUGUAGCGGUGAAAUGCGUAGAGAUCGGAAGGAACACCAGUGGCGAAGGCGACUCCCUGGAUUAAAACUGACGCUGAGGUACGAAAGCGUGGGUAGCAAACAGGAUUAGAUACCCCUGUAGUC
rnacentral:rRNA from 1 species